rnacentral:rRNA from 1 species
CGCUGAACUGAAACAUCUAAGUAGGCGGAGGAGAAGAAAACAAAAGUGAUUCCCAGAGUAGUGGCGAGCGAAAUGGGAGGAGCCCAAACCUGUAUUGUUUCGGCAAUGCAGGGGUUGUAGGACUGCGACAUUUGCUGUUUAUCGAAUUAGAACACCUUGGAAAAGUGUGACCAUAGAGGGUGAUAGUCCCGUAUAGGUAAGAUAAAUAAGUGAUAGCAGUAUCCUGAGUAGGGCGGGGCACGUGGAACCCUGUCUGAAACUGCCAGGACCAUCUGGUAAGGCUAAAUACUCCUGAGAGACCGAUAGUGGACUAGUACCGUGAGGGAAAGGUGAAAAGCACCGUGAAUAACGGAGUGAAAUAGACCCUGAAACCAUACGCUUACAAGCGGUCGGAGCAGCAUUAGCUGUGACGGCGUGCCUUUUGCAUAAUGAGCCUACGAGUUACUGUUACCAGCGAGGAUAAGUAUUUCAGAUACGAAUCCGCAUCGAAAGAGAGUCUGAAUAGGGCGACAAUAGUUGGUAGUAGUAGACGCGAAACCUGGUGAUCUACCCUUGGGCAGGUUGAAGCGCUGGUAACACAGCGUGGAGGACCGAACUGGUUGUCGUUGAAAAGACUUCGGAUGACCUGAGGGUAGGGGUGAAAGGCCAAUCAAACUGGGAAAUAGCUCGUACUCCCCGAAAUGCAUUUAGGUGCAGCGUUGUAAUAGAGUUUAAUAGAGGUAGAGCUACUGAUUGGAUGCGGGGGUUUCACCGCCUACCAAUUCCUGACAAACUCCGAAUGCUAUUAAAUGUUUUACAGCAGUGAGGGCUUGGGUGCUAAGGUCCAAGUCCGAGAGGGAAAGAACCCGGACCAUCAGCUAAGGUCCCCAAAUAUAUGCUAAGUUGAAAAAACGCGGUUGAACUGCAUUGACAGCUAGGAUGUUGGCUUGGAAGCAGCCAUACAUUUAAAGAGUGCGUAACAGCUCACUAGUCGAGCGGUUCGGCAUGGAGAAUAAACGGGCAUAAGCAUAUUACCGAAGCUAUGGGGUAGAGAUACCGGUAGGGGAGCAUUCUAUAGGCGUUGAAGCUAAAGGCGUGAGCCAUAGUGGAGCUUGAUAGAAAAGAAAAUGUAGGCAUAAGUAACGAUAAGGCAGGCGAGAAACCUGCCCGCCGAAAGAUCAAGGUUUCCUCAGCUAUGCUAAUCAGCUGAGGGUUAGUCGGGGACUAACGCGCACCCUUUCAGGGGAAGUGGAUGUACAACUGGUUAAUAUUCCAGUACUAGUAUUUCAAUAAAAGCGACGGAAUGAGAUAUACGCUGCGCACAGACGGAGUUGCGUUGAAGGAGCUGUUAUGGCUUUGAUAGUACACUUAGGCUACGGUCGAGGUGAUAAUGCGUAGACAACGUUUCCAAGAAAAGCGAGAGAUACUACCCGUACCGUAAACCGACACAGGUGAUUGGGAAGAGAAUUCUAAGGCGCUCGAGAGAUUCAUGGCUAAGGAACUAGGCAAAAUAGACCUGUAACUUCGGGAGAAAGGUCGCCUAUCGUAAGAUAGGCCGCAGUGAAAAGGUCCAAGCGACUGUUUAUCAAAAACACAGGACUCUGCAAAAUCGAAAGAUGAGGUAUAGGGUCUGACACCUGCCCGGUGCUGGAAGGUUAAGAGGAGGGCUUAGCGUAAGCGAAGGUCUGAAUUGAAGCCCCAGUAAACGGCGGCCGUAACUAUAACGGUCCUAAGGUAGCGAAAUUCCUUGUCGGGUAAGUUCCGACCUGCACGAAUGGUGUAACGAUUUGGACACUGUCUCGGCCAUGAGCUCGGUGAAAUUGUAGUAUCGGUGAAGAUGCCGAUUACCCGCAGUGGGACGAAAAGACCCUGUGCACCUUUACUACAUCUUCGUAUUGACCUUGGAUAAGUGAUGCGUAGGAUAGGUGGGAGACUAUGAAUGGGGCAUUCCGGUGCUUCAGGAGUCGUUGUUGAAAUACCACCCUUUGCUUAUCUGAGGCCUAACUCUCCUGUAGGGAGAGGACAAUUCGUGGAGGGUAGUUUGACUGGGGUGGUCGCCUCCAAAAGAGUAACGGAGGCUUCUAAAGGUUCCCUCAGCACGCUUGGUAACCGUGCGUAGAGUG